UACGGGGGGGGCAAGCGUUGUUCGGAAUUACUGGGCGUAAAGGGGUCGUAGGUGGCUUGUUAAGUCAGACGUGAAAUCCCUCGGCUCAACCGGGGAACUGCGUCUGAGACUGAUGAGCUCGAGUGCAGGAGAGGAACGCGGAAUUCCAGGUGUAGCGGUGAAAUGCGUAGAUAUCUGGAGGAACACCGGUGGCGAAGGCGGCGUUCUGGACUGACACUGACGCUGAGGCGCGAAAGCUAGGGUAGCAAACGGG
rnacentral:rRNA from 1 species